UUGAUGAUGAAGUCAUUAAAACGCGACAAUGUAUGGCUGGUGUGCGCGUGUAUAAAGCGGCAAUGUAAAAGUGCAAAGGUGAUUUAUAAUUUUCACUAAAAGGUUUAAUUUUAGUAACAUAAACUCCAUCGUUAUUGGCGUUUUUUCUGAAAUUAUAAAACGAAAUUGGAUUCUUAUAAUUUUUUCAACGCGUUUUACUGCCUCUUGUGAGUGUAACUACAUAAUGAGAGAAAUGUAGGUUAUACUUAACUAUAUUUCCGGAUGAUUUGAUUAUUUUCCUUUAAAGAAGCAGUAAAGCUCUGUUAAAACGAGUAUUAAAUAGCCAAAUAAUAAGUUUUUAUUCAUCGCUCGAAUCGCUGCUUUGACCUCCUUAAAUAAUCUGUGACAUUUUGGGGUUGAAGAUGUCAAUCAGUGGGCUCCCGUUUUUGGUAUAUCAGAGAGCCUCUCGCAUUGUUAUUCAUAAACAUACUUUAUCCUUUUUAAAAGAUUGUAGAACACCAAAAAUUGCUUCUUUUUCUUCCUGUGCACUGGGUAAAAAAUUUUGCAAACCAAAACAGACUGAGUUGCAACAUCAGCUUCGACGAUAUGUGCUGAGAUCAACAUUUGAAGCUGGUGCUGCAAGAAAAAGAGGACAGCUUGUGAAAAAGAAAGAAACGGUUAAAGCAGUUGAACAGACAGCCAGAGAGAGAAACGCCACAGAAAGUGUCCCAAGCUAUCCACUAACAACAAGUGAGUGGAGGAAAUUGAAAGAGCUAUACCGAGGCAAGAGGCAGUUUGAAGUGAGCAUGAUGACAAAGAUGGUAUCUGCCAGAAGUGAUGUGAAUGUUGCAAAGUCCCUCUUGACUUAUGUUGCGAAGGAGAAUGCUUCUAUCAGCUAUGAGUUGCUUCUCAAAUACCUCACACUUUGUGUUCUUGGCGAUCAUCAUGCAGAGGUCCUUGAUGUUUACGAGAUCAUGAAAAGUAGAUUCAAGGUCCUGGAUACAAGUGCCUACAGUCUCUUCAUUAAAUCAUUUAGCCAGACAGAAAACUGGCAAGAGUGUCUUACUUUUCUAGAAGAUAUUAAGAGGGUGAUCACUCCUUCUCCAAGGAACUAUGGGCAUGUAAUUGCUGGAGCCCUCCGGCAUGGCUGUGCCACUGUUGCAUGGCAGCUGUAUGAUGAAAUGCUUGCAACUGAUCUAACCCCUCAUCCAGAAACCUGGAAAGCUUUUUAUGACCAUAAACUUUACUCGGAUGAAAACAAAAGCAAGCUGAUGUCCAUUCUCGUGUACAUGAGGAACAAUCAAAUAUAUCCAAGUGAAUCACUGGCAAAGAGUAUAAAAUCAUGGUUUGAAAGUGAUCCAAAUAUUUCAUGGAAGGGAAGCUGGACUACUGUAGCACGAAGUGGUCAAUGCAGGCAUUGCUCUUCAAGUUUGGAGUCGAUUCACCUCACAGAGGAAGAAUACGAUGUGUUGAAGAAGAAAGUGAUGAAUGACGUUAUCUUGGGAAGUGAUGUAUUUAACAAGACAACACCUCAGGAACUACAGCACUUCAAGGAUUUUGUGAAAAAAAGACAUUCUUAUGAUGUUGUAAUCGAUGGACUUAACGUUGCAAACAUCACUAAUAGAGGAAGACAGUCGGAAAAUCUUUUGGAAGUUGUUUCUCACCUGGCAGAACUAAACCUUCGCCUACUGGUCCUUGGUCGAAAGCACAUGCUUAAACCAUCUCGUUCCUGGGACAGGAGUAACAUGGCUACCAUUCAGCAAAAAGCUGACUGCUUCUUCACAGAAAAUAUUUCAGAGGAUGACCCAUUCCUGCUAUAUGCCACCUUGCAUUCUGGAAACCACUGCAGGUUUCUAAGUCAAGACCUAAUGAGGGAUCACAAAGCAUGCCUAACAGACAGUGGCUUGCGACGGCUUUUCUUCAAAUGGCAACGUGGCCAUCAGCUGGUGCUGGCCAACUAUAACCCAGGGAGGAGUGUCAAUUUUCAGGUUGUACCUAUUUAUGAUACCAUCGUUCAGACUAAUGGGACUUCAUGGCAUAUUCCCUAUGAUAAGGAUGAAGUCGAGAGAUGCACGUAUGAAGUCCCAACAAAAUGGUUGUGCCUCGUACAGAAAAAUUAAGGGUUUUCUUCAAACAUACUCAGCCAUGCACUUUGGGGAAGAAAAAACAAACAACUGCUUUACCUGAAAAUAAAACAAUCACAGGGCUGAGGGAGUUGGAGCCUUGACUGGUAACAGUGGACAAAAGCCAAGGAUGGGAAGAGAGUCCUCCAGCAAACCACACACAUCCACGCAAGGGCAAUUAAGAGCCAUCAUUAAUGUACCUACACCAUUUGGAUGGGGGCAACAUUAAACUUCAAAGCAGAAAGAGAGCUGGAGGAUAUCUGGAAACAGGAUGCUGAAACUGUGAAGCAAAAAUUCUAAGGACCGCCUAGUCAAGAAUGCCAUUACUAUCUUCAUUUGGUAUUGCUUAACAAACAGAAAGGUUGUUGUAUUAAACAAUAAAAUUUCCAAGAUAGAAAUGCAUCCAUUUUCAACUCACUUAUCCAAUUCUGGAGCACAUAUGUUAAGGCUUAAUUCAACAGUACUGUGGGAUGAGCAGGAACAAUCCAUGAUGGGGUGUAGCCAAUCGCAAGGCACAUUUCUACACUUAGUCAAAGUGGGCACAUAACAGUCGCCAAUUAAGCUAACACAAGAAUUCUUUUGAGAAAGAAAAGGAAAGCAGAGAGAACUUAAUAAAAGAUAAUAACAACAUGAAAUUAAAUCAGUUAAUCA